rnacentral:ncRNA from 2 species
CACUACAUAGGCGAUGGAGUUCGCCACAUAACCGUCCUGUUUUUGACAGGGCUGAUAACUCCUGGUCAUAU